AAUGUUAAAGUUCUUAUUUCAUGGUAUAACUUUGGUAUGCUUGGACCUAGAGUCUUCAAACUUGACAUGAAGGUUGGACAGGAUUAACAGAUGACCACUGGUCAUUUCAAUGUCAUUCAUUUGAAGGUGAAGGUCACUGUGACCUUCAAUAUAAAAAUGUUAAAGUUGUUAUAACUUUGGUAUGCUUGGACCUAGAGUCUUGAAACUUGACAUGAAGGUUGGCCAGAACUAGUAAGUAACCACUGGACAUUUCAAGGUCAUUCAUUUGAAGGUCAAGGUCACUGUGACCUUGAAUGUAAAAAUGUUAAAGUUGUUAUAACUUUGGUAUGCUUGGACCUAGAGUCUUGAAACUUGACAUGAAGGUUGGCCAGAACUAGUAAGUAACCACUGGACAUUUCAAGGUCAUUCAUUUGAAGGUCAAGGUCACUGUGACCUUGAAUGUAAAAAUGUUAAAGUUCUUAUUUCAUGUUAUAACUUUGGUAUGCUUGUACCUAGAGUCUUCAAACUUGAAAUAAAGAUUGGCCAGUACUAGAAGAUGACCACUGGUCAUUUCAAUGUCAUUCAUUUGAAGGUCAAGGUCACUGUGACCUUAAAUGUUAAAAUUGUUAUAACUUUGGUAUGCUUGGACAUAGAGUCUUCAAACUUGACAUGAAGGUUUGCAAGCACACUUAGAUGACCACUGGUCAUUUCAAGGUCAUUCAUUCUAAGGUCAAGGUCACUGUGACCUUGAAUGUAAAAAUGUUAAAGUUCUUAUAACUUUGGUAGGUAAAAAUGUUAAAUGUCAAUUCAAGUUCAUAUUUGUGACCUUAAAUGUUAUUGUUGUUCAUGUAUAUGCAUGCAUUCAAAACAUAACACAAGGUUUGCUCAUGCCUUGAAAAGUACUUACAUUUCAUUUUGACCUUUGAAAAAUAUUUCAGUAAUUUAAGUAUUGCAUUGACAAAAACACGAAAGGUACUUUCCUGUCAUUUAAAUCAAAAAUCCGGCUUCAAUGCGGUCAUCUCCGACCGCGGAACUCUUGUAGUUUUUAUUUAACCUAUUUACCUUAGCUUUAUUGCAGGGAACGCACUAUGCUUAUUGAGACACUCGAGUCUGUUCCUGGGAAGAACCAGAACUUGGUGUUUAUGGAGAAGAUAAUGAGAACCUCCUAACUCCCAAUCACUAGGCGGACACCACAUCCACUACACCAUUAUGCUUUUACAUUGGCCUGUAUUAUUGAAUGUCCACACCAACCCCCUAACUAGAAACCCUGGAUCCGCCACUGAACAGCUUAGCAGCAUGAAUAAAAAUGAGCUUGAUCAACUUAGUAUCAUUUUCUUAUAAGAUUUUUUUGGAUUGGCAUUUUAAUGAAAUAAAAUAAGUUAGUUUCUCAGAUAUUUUUGUAGUUGUUUGUAACUUUUUAUGCCCCCGGUAGGGUUGCACAUAGAAGUUGAACUGUCCGUCAGUCAGUAUGUGUGUCAGUCUGUCCGUCCGUCGGGAAAAAAAACUUCAACGUUGGCCAUAACUUUUGCAUUAUUAAAGAUAGAAACUUGAUAUUUGGCAUGCGUGUGUACCUCAUGGAGCUGAACAUUUUUAAUUGGUGAAAGGUCAUCCUUCAAGGUCAAAUGUCAAAUAUAUGGCGUCUGUCCGUCUGAAAACUUUAACAUUGGCCAUAACUUUUUCAAUAUUGAAGAUAGCAACUUGAUAUUUGGUGUGCACGUGUAUCUCAUGAAGCUGCACAUUUUGAGUGGUGGAGGUUCAAGGUCAUCCUUCAAGGUCAAAGGUAAAAAAAACACACAAAGCGGCGCAAUAUGGGGCAUUGUGUUUCUGACGAACACAUCUCUAUUUAAUAAUUGUUUGUGAUGGGAAGAUAAUACAAUGAGCAACUAAUACCAUUACCUUAUUAUCCCUUGCCAUAGGAGGAGGGAUAUUGUUUUGGGGUUGUCUGUCCGUCUGUCUUUCCAUCUGUCCGUCCAGCACUUUUGUGUCCAGAGCCAUAUCUUGGAAGUGCUUUGGCUUCUUCUUAUUCUUUCAAAUGACGUUGAACUUAACCCUGGACCGAUAUUCCAGACAAUACCGGUCCCUGUGGAAGCGGUUGGCUCAAGCGAGAAGAUGACGAUAAUUACAGUGAAAAUGGACUGACCAUACACGAAAGACAAAGGACAUUAAAUAUUUACACAAAUUUUGCACCUGUAAAAUGUGACAUUCAUAUACGUGAAUGCUAUAAUUCAAUUAGUAAGCCAUGCAGAAUUCUUUGGGAUGAAGGGGACUUAGAUUGUUUACAUGUAUUAAGUAGGGAUACAGCAGCAGGAGAUGAAAUAGGGUGGAAAUUUGUAUCUAUGGUUAUGAAUUCUAGUUGCACU